UUAUUUAAAAAAUUUUAUGCAAGGAAGAGACCUAUCACACAUGUUAAUUCCUUGGAGUUAGAGGCUAUCUCAGAGACCAGAACAGAGAGGGAAAUUUUGUGUUCGUAUGAUAGCUUUGUCAGAACAGCUGCAUAAAAGUGAGGGAAAAUAAAUGUUGUUGAAAUAACUUCCACAGACGUGGCUGAGAAAGCAGAAAGCCUAAAGGAGACCUAAAGCUCAUGGCAAGACUUUUUCACCAGGUGUACUCUGUGUGUCCACACACGCAGAUAAAGAACAUUUUUAGGCAGUGAAGGCAAAACAUUGGUUUAGGAGGAAGUUCAAUAUCAAGAGAAUUUUGAGUUGGUGCCAGAAUGAAUACUAUAAUGUUCUUUAAUGUUUCAAGUAAAGGUUUGCCACACUGUUUGAAGAAACGUGCACGUAUCCAUCUGCAAAAAGCCAGCUGUCCAGGAAGCAGUUCUAUUGUGAAGAGUCUACUCUUGCCUUUCAGGGAAAUAUAGCUCAGAACUUCCUUCUUCAGGCCAAGGAGGGACUGUUAGCCCUGAACCCUGAAGUUAACAGAGAACUCACGGUGCUUUUACUCCAUCAGUACUGUCUGCUUCAGGACCAGGGUUCUGGCUGACCAGCAGAGCUAUAAUCUUAUUCCAGCAACACCAAUAAGCAACUGGUACGUGACCAUGAGAAGAGAACUUCAGCAUUGCAAGACCAGAACACUGGCUAUCAAAAAGAUUAAUCACAAGGGGAUAUAUUGUUGCCUGAAUAUUUUAACAACUGGCAUGGAAAUACUCUACCUUCCAAGAAAACUCCCUCCCAGAACAGCCGAGUAAAUCUCAGAUGAGCUAUCAACUUGACCCACCACCGAAACGUUUAAUUUUUUCCAAAAUCAAAUUAAAUGAGUUAAUUCUUUUUUCUA